rnacentral:rRNA from 1 species
GGAAUAUUGGACAAUGGGCGCAAGCCUGAUCCAGCAACGCCGCGUGAGUGAAGAAGGCCUUCGGGUUGUAAAGCUCUUUUAGCAGGGAAAACAAAAAUGAUGGUACCUGCAGAAAAAGCACCGGCUAACUCCGUGCCAGCAGCCGCGGUAAUACGGAGGGUGCAAGCGUUACUCGGAAUUACUGGGCGUAAAGCGCGUGUAGGUGGUCUUAUAAGUCUGGUGUGAAAUCCCGGAGCUCAACUCCGGAAGUGCAUUGGAUACUGUGAGACUGGAGUACAGGAGAGGAUGGCGGAAUUCCAGGUGUAGAGGUGAAAUUCGUAGAUAUCUGGAGGAACAUCGGAGGCGAAGGCGGCCAUCUGGACUGUAACUGACACUGAGACGCGAAAGCGUGGGGAGCAAA